UGGGAGAGAGCCCCAGCGUGGUUUCAACAUCGUCUCCUAGUUCUCCCUGAAGCUCUGUUGAGAAGCACAUACCGCCCUCCUUCCUGGAAUGUGCGUGACUGGUCGCUGCCCUGGCACAGCCAUCUGCCAAAUCCUGUUGUUCAGGAAGUGAAUGAUGCCCUUGUCCUCGUUGGUAAUGGCCCGUGUUGUACAAAGGCCCUUUGCUGCAUGUGGGGGGCGGGCAGGGGUGCCCUGUCCAGGCACCUGUGAGCCACACUGACAAUGAGCUCUCUCAGCCCAGCCAGGGCGGGAGCCCUGGGGUGCAGCCUGUCCCUGCUCAUCCAGUGCUGCCUCCAAGCAGGAGCAUCCAGGGACAAAGCCACAAAGAGGCCAGGGAGCAGAGGAGCAGGGGCUGUGUCCUCUGCAGGCAGGGGGGGCGGGCAGAGGGGCUGUGCUGACACAUCAGGCUUCCUUAGAUUUGGGCAGGGCUCGCCAGCUGUCGGACAGGCACCUCCAUCCACACAGGGGCAUCCUCCCUGCUCCCGACCCCCCUCCCUCCGCACCACCACACUUUCAUCCCCGCCCUCCCCGUUCCUGGUGGUGGCUGUCCAAUUGAGCCCUGCUUUCCUCUGAUCCCCUCGUCCUUGCACUUGAGUUUCUCAAGGAGAGGAAGGGAGAGUGAGAGAAAGGAAAGCAAACAGAAACGGGUGUAGUUGGGGCCAGGAGGGCUGAUGAAGGCAAAUACAGACAAAAAUGUGGAAAUUUCCUGGGGGUAUGUUGUCAUCAGCACACACGUGUGGGCAGACUGCCUGGGAUUGAGUCCUGGCCUUGCUAUUUAGGAGCUGUGUGAUCCAGGAUAAGUUGCUUAACCUCUCUGUGCCUCAGUUUCCUCAGUAAAAACGGUGGUUGAUAGUAUGUAGCUCCUGGGUUGUGAGGGUGACAUUGUGAGGGAGUGUAUUUGGUUUUAGAACAGAGGGUGGCUCACACCAAUGACCUAACAUGGUAGCUGUUUUGUGCCAGUGUUUGUGUACUAUUCUCACGAUGAUACCCACACAAGUCCCAGCUGUCACCCACACAAGCCCCGGCUCUCUGCCCUGAGCAGGCAUCCUGCUCACCUCACAGCCCCAGAGGCUGCUUUGUUCCCUGUUGGGGGACAGCCAGGACCCUGGGAGGCUGGGGGUAAUAACUGGGUAAGGGGUUUAUACCCUCUGUUGUUUUGCUUGGGGCAGAAGGAAUUGAUGACAUCCAGUCAUGACCUGAUUUUAUGGUUCUGAGAUGGUGGGAGACAAGCUCCAUGACCUAUAAACCCAGAGGGCACUUGACAAGGGGGUGGGCAUCAUAGGAGGCCAGCGGGCUCCUUCCUCCAGACAUAUCUGUGCUGAGCUCAGAGAAAGGGGCUCUGGAACGGGGUGUGUCCUGGCCCAGAGUCACAGUCCCGUUCUCUGGACCCCACCUGCCGCCUGGGGAUUAGGUGCCGGCUCAGGGUUUUGGGUCCCACACAGGGGACUUUCCAAGGGUCUCCUGUAACAAGCGCCAGGCCAUCCACCGGUAAGGGGUGAUGUCGUGAAGCCCCGCAGAGGGCGACCACAGCCUUCAGCUCUGUACUUAACCUCCUGCCAUCAGCCUGGUAGACACAGGACAGGGUCCCUUCCCCAGGGCGAGUUUACAUUGACUCUGCAGGGCCAGCCUCACAAGCUGGCCGCCGUGGUACCUCCUGUUGGGAGGGGGGAGGGGUGAGGAGGAGGCUUUGUGGCUGAGGAGGGACCGGCGCUAAAGGAGGAAGACGAAGGUGGAGAGGGAGGUGGCCCAUUGGAGGAUGGGGAGUGGAUGUGAUUGUCCAGACCGGGUGACAAGACCAGAUUAGGGCGAUGGCAGAAGCGGCGCCUUGGGCUAUGACGGGGAGGGUCCAACUGCACUCAGGACAGCCUUGAAGUCCCGGCUGAACCACCCGGCCUGACUCUAGAGGAAAUGCGUGGACUUAGGUAGGAAGGCACACAGACUCGUCCUCCAGCUACAGCCCAGCUGGGACACUUUCCCGGGUGGAGAGAGAGGGCGGGGGCAGCUCAGACAAGUGAAGAGACAGAACCAAGCCUGUCCUGCCGGCCCGGUCGCUAAACCAAAUACUCGCGAUGGGGAUGAUCGGUUACGUUCUCUAGUUCUUCUAGUCUCCUAAUCCUCGGGGCUCGGGCACGGAUAAUCCAGGGCUACGUACACAUGAGUCUUCACAAGGCUGCACAAGAUCACAGUCUUGUCAGGAGGAGAAACUGAGGCUCUGGUUUAGGAGCUGCCCUCGAAUCACCAUGGAGCAGGACCGAGCGUGGGCUGCCCGCCCCUCCGCCCAGCCACCCGGCUUCUAAAUCUGGGUCUUUUCCCGCGUCUGAUCCAGAGAGGAGGGAAGGAUGUACCAAGACAGGGUCUUUGGACAGACAGCCGUUUCAAUAGCUCCUCCUUAGAGCUGGGGUGGGAAUGCCUCUCCCCCCACAUGCCUUCAGCCUAUUGGUGAGCGGGGAGCUGGAGCAAGUGUGAGGAUGUAGCAGGUUUAGAAGGAAAUAGCUUAAUCCUUGCGUGGGAUGGAGGAGGCAGGAAGGAGGGAGAUGUGAACCUGAGACCCGGGGCGUGUGACUGCUCCGUGGAAGCCUAAGGGUGUGAUGACCCUGCUGCCUGCCUCUCUCAGGGGGAUCGCCUUUGCUAACUGUGGGGGGCAGGGCGUAGGGCCCUAAUGGGGGACAGGGCCUCCCGGUGGGGGCUGACCCCUCUGACUUUGUCCCCCCACUCGGAAGCCACCACCCUUGUCGUUUGCCCUCUGAGAGUCCUCCUCCCUCGGGCCGCCCCCUGCCCUCUGUCCCUGGGGCCGUGACAUUGACAGGGUGCCCAGCGGGGCGAAGACGGCAGCUGCAGGUCCUGGUCCCCAGUACGUGUGUGAGUGUGAAUGCGAAUGGGUUGGGAUGGGGGAGCGGCGGGGCUGGGAUCAUCCGCAGAUCAGAGCUCGGGAGUAGAGAGCUUCUAGCGGGUGGGGCCGCCCUACACGCUGGAGCCCGAGGACCUGCCCCUGGGACCACCACCAGCCUCAACACCCCUGGAGGCCAGAGCACGUCGGACAGGCACUGACCAGAGGAGCCUGGGAGGAGCUGCGGGGGUGAGUCGAACUUGGGACGGACUGGGUGUGGCUGGGCUGGGCGAGAUGGGGAGAAGCCAGGGAUGGAAAAGAGCUGCAGGUGGAGCAAGAAGAGGAGGGAAACGGGAGAGCAUCCUGCCUCAGCCCUUGUUGCUGCACAGUAGCCACGCCCCUUUCCCGGGCCCUGCCACCAGGGGGCGCUGCGGGGGGGGGAGCUGCCAAGCGGAGCCGCAAAGGGGUGAGAUGGAGGCAGAGUUACGGCCUUGUGGGCCCCAAAGGGGACGGUGGAUGGUCGCCCCGUGUCCAGCGGCAGGACAGUGGGGCCCCCAGCCCAGGGUCCGGGUUUCUAGACCCUCCGCUCCUGCUGUGGGGGAGGGAGGAGCAGGCAGAGGGAGCUGAUCUGCCCAAGACCGCAGUGUGGCCUUUACCCCUGGGUGCCCACCAUGGCCCAGGCCCUGGAGAAGCUCUGGAAUAAAUACCUGUAGGCCUUAGAAAAGGGAGGUAGGAGGUGGUGUCACCUGAUAGUGGCUUUCCUUUGUCUAUUCCACCAGACAGAUGCCCGUCGUUUGGAGCAAGAGGAGAUGGUGACCAGCAGAGCCCCGGGAGCUGCCAGGGAGGGCUGGGUGGCAGGUGGGCCUGGUGGCCAGCUCCACUGCCCCCUUUCUUCUUGCUUUGCCAGACCCGAGGACCCAUUCCUGGUUCCUGGUACACUCGCUGCUGCCUGUCACCCUCCUCUGGGCCUUCGACCUCCUCCUGGUGGUGGAGGGCCCCCGUCUCAUGUCCCAUGAGGAGCCUUUGAGGCUGGCAGGACCCCUGACUGCCUACAACCUGGGCCUGAUGGUUCUCUCGGGGCACAUGUUCUAUGAGUUCAUGGCCACCUCGCUCCUGGCCAGCUACAGCUGCUUCUGCCAGCCGGUGAACUACAGCUGGAGUGAGCUGGGGUUAAGGAUGGCGAGCGUGUGCUGGUGGUGCUUCUCAAAGGCCAUUGAAUUACUGGUCGCGGGGAGUAAUUCACAGUGGGUGGUCAUCUUCCUAUCACGAAAGGAGUCAGAGCAAAUGAGCUUCCUGCACGUCUACCACCACAGCACCAUGCUCUUCAGAUAGUGGGCUUGGGUCAAAUAUGUGCCAGGGGUCAAGACAUACCUGAGAGGCAAGUGGGAGAAGCUGACCUACAAGGUGGGGCCAAGGACUGAAACUAGCAGAGCCCUCCCCAUGGAGAGUUUGGCGAAAGAUGAUACGGCCCACAGCCCACCCGUGCUGAGCAGAUUCCUCUGGGCAAGUAUUUCAUCCUAUGAGGAAAGGACAAUAACAAUUCUCGCCGCCUUCCCAGAGUUCAGGAGGACAGAACUGGACCCAGCUUCCUGAACGCACAUCUCAUGUGGAUUCGUCACUAUUUGCACACCUCCUUCCUCUACUAAACGUGAGUCCUUCUGAGGAGGGACUGAACUCUCAGUGGUCCCCACCCCUGGCACAGUAUCUCAAUAAAUGUGCAUUUAGACCCCUAUAUUCCCCCAUGGGCAGUCAGGGCUGGGAGCAGGGUUGGGAGCAUGGAGGAAGGCAAGGCUGGUUUGAUCUUCCCCUUGCAGGCAGAGAGGAUGGCUGAGAAUAUCUAAUCUAAGGAGUGUGGGUCUGUGUGAUUUCUCUUGGGGCUAUGCCAACAGUUCCCCUGCACAUCUUUCUGUCUGUUCACUAUUACCUAAGGUGCAUUUACACAGUUGUAUGAUUCUGUGUGUAUGGGGCAGCAGAAAGGGCUACUCAUACAUGUCCAAAUACUUGCUUUUGAAUACACGUGUGUUUCCAUU
rnacentral:lncRNA from 1 species